rnacentral:rRNA from 1 species
AUUGAACGCUGGCGGCAGGCCUAACACAUGCAAGUCGAGCGGAGCGGCGGACGGAUGAGUAAUGCCUAGGCAUCUGCCUGACAGUGGGGGAUAACGUCCGGAAACGGGCGCUAAUACCGCAUACUAUCAGAUGAGCCUAGGUCGGAUUAGCAAGUUGGGGGGGUACAGGCCUACAAAGGCGACGAUCCGUAACUGGUCUGAGAGGAUGAUCAGGCAGGCUGGAACGGAGACACGGUCGAGACUCCUACGGGAGGCAGCAGUGGGGAAUAGUGGACAAGGGGGGAAAGCCUGAUGCAGCCAUGGCGCGUGGGUGAAGAAGGACUGCGGAGUGUAAAGCACUUGAAGUUGGGAGGCGGUACCAACAGAAUAAGCACCGGCUAACUUCGUGCCAGCAGCCGCGGUAAUAC